UGUGUGUGUGUAAGUAAAUGUGGGGAUAACCAUACUAGCUGAGAAAGACCAUUGCCCUCCUGUUGUCAAGGCAUGAUGGGAACAGAAUGGUGGACCGGAGAGGCCCACUUUAGUCUGAUCUAGUUGCACCCAUCAAGUUUGGGGGUCUUUGUUCAUCAUCUGUUUCCCCACAAAUGUUUGCUGUGCGGUUUGGGCAGAUCCUGCCACCCGUACCCUCGUUCUUACGAGAUGCAUGUUGGCUGGACUCUCAGACGUCUCAGUGUGAAGGCCUUUGCAGAGUAUGGCAGUACUAGCGCACAUGAGUUCAGCCCCUCCAGCAUCUGACCUCACAGCUGUUGGAUUUGGAGACAUCCACAUCUGCCCAGUGAAGUGUUGGGUCUAUCCCAGGUCCUCAGGUAGAUCAGUUGAGCAGAAAGGUUGCAAUCAAUGUCUACCCUUACUUCUCGCCCCUGACCUCACUUUGAGCACCUUGGGGCAUAUGUGCCAAGGUACACUUGAGCAGCCCCACUGGUCUCUGGGAGGCUCAUCUAGGCUGCGCAGGAUGAGGCCUCGUUGUCUGUUUAGCAUUGGCCUGUCCUGGCCGCCAGACACUGGGCAGACUCACCAGUGUCGCAUGUAGAUUUGGACCUUGGGCUAGGUAAGAGAGGGCAAGGUAAGGUUUUGCAAAACGAUGUGGGUGUGGGAAAUAGAUUUUCUUUCCCUCUUGUACUACUGGAACUUGGGGGUUGGGUGGUGGCAGUGAAACUGAUUAGCUGUGCCCAAAGGGUGGCCAAAGGAGAAAAGCACCAAAGCCAGAGCAAAUGAGUGAGUGUGUGGGAUUGGCUCCCAUAGGAGGUGGCCAGGGCUACUAGCUCAGGAUGGCUUUGGAAGCAGGACAAGAGCACUGUGAAGAUGUCUUAUAACCCGACAGCCCUCAGGGUUGCCUGAGUCUGUUCAUGCCUUCCUCUUGGGCUUGUAUGUGCCUUUUGAGCCAUGUUGGCUCAUGCUGGCACUGCCAGAAGGGCAGCCUGGCUGUUGCCUGUGCUGGGCUCCUUUUUCUUCAAGGGUCUGGCUGCUCCCUUUCUUCCCCCAACCUCCAUGGGUCUGUUGGCAGGGGUGGGAGAGAACUGGGCAAUGCCCAUCCUCUGCUACCUUUGAGUUAGGGGUGGGCAACGUAUGCCCCACAAGCUGCCUGUGGACACUGACACCUAUUUUUUGCAUCCCCCAGGAGCCACAGGGAAAUUUAGAUUACAAUUCCGCACAGCCACUGUUUCAGUGGGCUGCCAGAUCUCAGCAGCAAAUAGCUAAUCGAGGGGCAGACAAAAUGUUGAAGACUAUGGGGCUGCAUUAGCCCCCCAAGAGACCUUGGAGGGCCAUACUCCCCCACUGCACCCACAAAAAAGGAAAAAUCAAGAAUUUAAUUUGCCCCCAUAUGGCCUCAAGCAGCCUUUAGUGGCCGUGGGGGCAUUCCACCGUGUUUUGGGGGCUUCCUGCACCGUAUUAAGGUCCAGGAGACCUUCAGCAGACACUUCCUGUUUCAGAAAAAUCCCAGGUUGUUUUCCUCCCCAUUCCUGGCUUCAGUUUAGGUCUGCCUGACCAUGAGAAACAGUCCUCUUUGUCCAGGCUUCCUUAGGAGGGCAGUACCACCUGUUCCCCCCCCCCCCCGGCCCUCUCUCUGGAGCUCAGGCCACUGUGUGAUGGUGGGAGGCUCUCCGUCACUUCUGGAGGCCCAGCCUGGACCCUAGCAGCUCUUUCAAGGCUUGCUGGCAGUAAUAGCACGCCUAAUGAGGAUGCCACCAGGGCCCUCCUCACCAAACCCACAACGGCAGGUGAAGCACAGCCUGACUGAGACUCAUUGACUUCCGGCCCUGGGCCCACCACCCUCUUCUUCUCUUCAGGCCGCCUGGGGCAUUGGGCAAGGGGGCCCUACACUCUCCUCCCCCUACAGAGACCAUGGGACACUGGACUGCCCCUCCCCUCCAUCUUCCCUCCUGUAAAGACGCUUCAAGGGGACCUCCUCCUCCUUCUUCUUCUCCCCCCCCCCCCCCCCCCUUUGAAACAGUUGUUUCAGAGGCUGCGUUUUGCUUUUGCAUAUCAUUAGGGCUGUGUAAGGAACAACAGCGACACCUGCAUGUGCUGCAGCAGUGCUACGGAGGACCCAGACAGGACAGGAAAUGCAGCACAGGUGCUCCAAUGCAGCACCCUCCUCCUGAUGCCACUGCCACUUCCCAAUCAAAUAGUCACCAUUGCCCAAGAUCUGCAGCUGUUGGGAGGAAGGCAGCUGCUGUAUGAAGUGCCCCAUGGAAAGUGGGUUCCGGCUCAACCCCCUGGUGCCCAAGGGAGGUUGCCCAGCAGCAGAAUUGCUCCAGUGGGCCAGGAGUUGAGCCUGAGGGGCCCAGUUCUGUCUAUGUGGCACUGAGUGAGAAAAAAGCCCCUCUGCUGGCCCCCCACAAACUCACAUGUGGCUACUGUCCUUUCGUGGCUGGUGCCAGGGCAGGAAAAGGCCAGCUAGCCUGUGUCUGAUGAAUUGUUGAAGUGGGGCUCCAGAAGAAAAGGGAGCAAAAGAGGGAACAGAGGAGCCAACUGUUUGCUAAUAAGGCUAGGAAGAGGAGGAGAGGGGCACUGCACCCCACAGGCAGGGUGGCCUUGCCCCUCUUCUUCCACUUGUUCUGCUGCUGCUUCGCCACUGUCUUUUGUUGUGCCUUUCUGUGGGCUCCGUCAUUCAUACCAACCUCAGUCACGGCCUCUGUAGAGAUGGGAGCAACCUUGCCCCGGGAGCGGCUCUUUCCAUCCUGCUGAAAUGGAUGGCAUCCUGCAUGGCGUGUGCUUGGCUCCCAGCCACCAGCCCCCCCAUUAAUGCCCCAGAGUUGGAAUAGGAGGCACUGCCUGGGCAAUAGUCCACUUCCACAAGAGUCAAAGCAAGGGGCAGACUCAGGUCCCGCUUGUGGCAUCUCCUGAUGGUGCCCCCAACCAAGCUCCCCUCCCCCCUCAGCAUUGUACCUCUCUUGGCUCACCAUCCCUUGGUCGCGUGCCUUAAUGAUAUGCAAAUGAAAUAUGCAUAAAAUCAUUCAACUGCAUGAUGAUUAAACUCGGAAGACGUGUGAAGCAGUGGUGCCCGCCGCUCUUUGACGCCAGGAUGAUCUUCCUUGAACUGCCACAUUACGGAGUUUGGGGAGGCCAAGCAGUUGGCACGUAGCCCAGAGGAGCCAGACAGCGGGCAGCACAGUGGACCCUCAACCAUCUCUGUGCUGCUCCCCUUCAGGAAGACCCCUUCCUCCUCUGACUUAACCACCUUUUGUCUUCCCCCCCCCCCAUUCUUCCUUUUGUAAUCCAGUCAUGACACAGUGCCAGCGUGAUUAGCAGAACACCCUUAAUAUUUCAGAGCUCAUUAGCAAAACGAUAAUUCCUCGUUAACCACAAAAGCUCGUCUAUUUGAGGAAAAAAGAUGCCCAAAAAAUGCCAGCUGUUAAUCCUGAGCACUGUAUUUUCCAUGCAAAAAUAAUGUGUGCCAAUUCCCUUUUGUCGUCUGAGGGAAGGGAGUUUUUGGGAGUGGGGGUCUUUUUGGAUGAAGAGGGAAAGCAACUCUCCAGUUAGCGUGUUUUGUAAAUUCCUAUUAAGCGAGAAGCCCAUUGAUAUUCCUAGGGUAUGACUUUAUUUUUGUAUCUUCCUUUUUUCUCCAGCACCCAUCCCUGCCUCAGAGCUUGAUGCCAGUCAAACGUCUUCCAGGUUGUCCAGCAGCAGCACCAUCCAUGUAAGUCAGCAGCUGAGCCCCUUGGAGGAACAGAGCAGCCCGAGAGGAAGACUCCUGUGCCAGCGCAUGGGGCGGGGGGCAUGGAGCUGCCUCCUGGCCUGUGUGGCACAUGCCACCCGGGUGUCAGGAGAGCCCCUUCCUGCUCGCUCACUCUGCUGCCUGCUCCGUCGUCUCCUUCUCCACAUUGGUGCAGGUCUCAUCUCCCAGAGCAGCAGGUUGGUCCAGAGGAACAGAGGUUGGCGGUGUUGCUGCAGGAACAGUUCCUCUUUGAACUUGCCCUCCAUCUGCAGGAAGCCGCAUGCCAGCAGGAGGCAGCCAGAUCUGAGAUUUUGGAGAAGGAAGCUAAAAUUCAGAAGCUGCAAGAGACCAUCGCCAAGCUUCACUAUGAAAUCUCCCAGAAAGAUCUGGAGGCAGUGAGGGAGCUGCCGGACACGGACCGCCUGGAGAGCGAGGAGUGUGGCGUCCAGCAGAGGCAGAGGCAGGAGCCAGCAGUGCCAGCUGCUCAGGAGCAGAGGAUCUGUGAACUGGAGACCUUGCAGAGGGAGGCACAGACAGAGCUGGGGCAGAGGCGGCAUCAAUCCCAGCAUGUGGAGGACAGGCAGCCUGGCCAGGAGUACCAGGAGGACCCCUGCCAACAGCUGACGAUACAGGCAGAAGGAGAGAGCAAGGUGCUGAGAGGCUGCAGAUGGGCGCACAGGGUGGAGGCCCAAGGAGCAACAGCUCAGCUGGCGGUGGCAGAGACUGAUGCGGCUGCCCUGAGGAGCAAGUACAGGUUGGCCCUGAAGGAGGCUGCAGAGAGGAACCGAGCCCUGCACAACCUCCAAGAAAGCCACGGCCUCCUGCAACAGCGCAUGGCCAAGAGGGAGGCGCUCUUUCGUCCACUAGAGAGCCAAGUCCAGGAGCAACUGGCGAGCCUUCAGAGUGCACAAGAGGAGGGCACCCUGUCAGCCUCACGGGCCAAACAGGAAGCAGCAGAGUCCCAGGUCUGUGCCCAGGAAGAAGAGAUCGAAGCAUUGCGGAGGAAAGGCCACUUAAUUGGCCAGCAGUUGGAGGAGCGACAGGGGGAGGUGGAUCAGCAGAAGGAACUGCUGAGCACAGAGCAGCGCAAGUACCAGGUCCUCAGGGAGGAGCUGCAGAAGAGAGACCAGGAGUUGAGCGCCCUGCGGGAGGCCCUGCAACCAACAGAGCAGCAGCAAAGCAAGCAGCAGCCCGAGCAGAGAUGGAAGGCAGACAUCCAGGCCACCCAAGACCAGCUCUCCCAGUGCCAGGAGCAGCUGUCGGCAGAACAGGCCAAGCACCAGCGGCUGGCACAGGAUGGGGCUUCACUGAGGGACCAACACAAAGCCUUCCAGGAGAGGGACAAGCUGUGGGGCCCACGAGAGUCUCAGCAUGAGCAGGGGCAGAGGAUGGUGGAGCAGACGCGUGUUGUCCAUCAGCUCCAACACGAGAAGGAAGCCUCUCUUGGGCAGAGCCCGAGCACAGUGGCCCUCCGAGAACAGCUGCGGGAGAGGCGGGGCUCCUUCCCAGUGGCCCACCAGGCUGACAUGGAGGAGCUGCAAGUGAAGCUGCAGCACCUCCAGCAAGAGCUGGACAUCUGCAAGGGCCGCAAUCAGGAGAACCUCAGCAAGCUGCAGGCCCGUGAGUGCACCCUGGAGAAGCAGAGCCUGGACCUGGACCACCUCCUCCACCAGUGCCAGAUCCUCAAGGACCAGCUUUUCUACUACGAGGAGGUCACCGAGAAGCAGGAGCUGGCACUCUCCCAUCAGCAAGAGCGCGAGCGGCACCUGCAGGACCGGCUGGCCCAGGCCGAGAGCAGUGCCGGCCUUCUGGAAGAGAGCCUGGACAUCUACAAGCAGAAGUACCAGGCCUCACUGACCAGAGCCGGGGAGCUGGAGAGUCGCCUGCAGCGCCUGGAGGAGGAACUGGCCAGCCAGGCCAAGGCAAGGGAGGAGGCCAUCCUGAAGCUUCAGGCAGAGAAGCUGGUCUGGCAGGAGGAGCUGGAGGGCAAAUGUCACCAAGCCAACGACGCUGAGGAGGCCAUGGAGCGUUUGGUGCAAGAGCUGCAUAAUUCCCAGCGGGAGUUGAGCCAGGGCCGGCUGCAGGCUUGCCAGUUUGAAGAGACCAUUCAGGGACUGCAGGAAGCAUUGUCAGACAGCCGUGCCAAGGUCCUAGACCAGGAAGAGGUGCUGGCAACUCUGCGCAGGGACUUUGCUUCCUACAAGUCAACUCACAGCUACUCCAACAGCAGCUAUGAAAGCCAGGUGCUCCAUACAAAGACAUUCGAGCAGAAGCUGCAAGAAGCCGAAAAGGAGAUUACAGAACAUCAGCAGAAGGCCGAGGAGUACCAGAAUUUGCUGCAGGACCUGAAAAUGGAGCUGGUGCGAGUAGUGGAGCAGAAGAGCAGCGCCUUGAAAGGCCUGGCGCGCCUGGAGCUGACAGUGCAGAGCCUGCGGCAGGAGGCGGCUGCCGAGAGGGAGCGGCAGGAGGCGGAGGCAGCCACACGGCAACAGCAGGCCCAACAGCUGGAGUUGGCACUCGGGCGGAGCCGCCAGUCCUGUGCCCAGCAAGAGCAAGCCAUUCAGAAGCGGGAUGAGCUCUUGCGCAAGUCCCAGGCUGAACUGGUGCGUGCCCGCAGUGCCCUCCAGGAGAAAAGCCAGGAGCUGGAGCAGCAGCGGGGCCGAGCCCACCGCCUGGAGAUUGGCCUGCGGGAGGCCCAGGAGGCACUGGAGGACAACCAAGCAGAGGAUGCCGCGCUGCGCACAGAGACCCAAACACUGCGGCAGAGCCUGCGCGAGACCCAGGAGCGGCACCAUCAAGCUGCCCAGGAACUGGCCCGGCAGGAAGAGCAGCUACUGCUGGCCCAAAACAGCCUCCGGGCUGCCCAGGAACAGAUGGAGGAGCGUGUGGCGGAGGUGGUGCACCAUGCCCAGGCUGCCCACCAGUUAGAGGCUGAGGUCCAGGUCCUGAGCAAACGAGCAUCCAGAGCUGAAGAGGAGCUGGAGCAGAAAAGGGAACUCUUGGAGCAUCUGACGGAAGAGCUGAGCCAGGCGCGGCAGCAGCACCAGGCAGCUGCCCAGGAGGCCCAGCAGCAGCGCCAGGAGGUGACACGCCUGGAGCAGAAACUAGAGAGCAGCCGCGAGGGGCUGAGGGACCUGCGGCAGCAGGUAGGAGGCCUGCACCCAGGGGGGACAGGGAUGGCGUGUUGGCAGAGGUGGCUUCGUUGGCGCAAAACAGAAGGGCGCCUCUGCUUGCAGGUCCAGGGCCAUGAAUCUACCCUGGAGGAGCUGCGUGCUGAGCUGAGCCAGCAGAGGCAGCAGGAGGAAGAGCUGCAGAGGCAGCGACAUGAGGCCCAGGUGCGAGAGAGCCAGCUGGCCCAGUGCCACAAGGACCUGCAGCGGCGGCUCCAGAACAGCCAGUGCCAGCUGCAGGAGGAGGAAUGGAAGAACCAAGGGCUGCAGUCAUGUGUGGCUGAGCGGGAAGCUGAGAGCCGGGCCUUGCGAGAGCAGCUGAAGCAGCAGGAUCUGGAACUGGAAGCAGCCCGCAGCAGCCUGGAAAGUGUGCAGUUGCAGCUGCAGCAGCAGACAACAGAGGCAUUGCAUUGGGAAUCUGCCUUAUCCCAGCUGCGCACAGAGUUUCACACAGUCCAAGAACGGGAGCGGCAGAACUGCCAGGCCAGCCAGAGGGAGGUGGUGGAGAAGCUGGAACAGAAAGCCCGGGAGGCAUCCUGCAUGGAGGCUGAGCUGCAGCUAGCCCAGCACAAAGUGGUCCACCUGGAGGAACAGGUUGCCCGCACCCAGGAGCAGCUGCAGGAACAGAUGGCCGCUCAGAGGGUGCAGGAGCAAGAGGCCUGCUGUGCAGAGGAGAGGCUGAGGGAGCUGGGCAGCCAGGCACAGUACUGGCAGAAGCAGAGUCAGGCCACCCAGUUGGCCCUGGAGGAGAAAGAUGAGGAGCUGGUGGUGACCAAGGUGGAGCUGGCUGCUAUGGAGGAGAGAUGCCGCAGCAUGGCCGAGGAGAGAGAAGAGCUGCAGAACGAGGCCAACCUUCUCCGGCAGAAAUUUGUUGUCUCCAACCGGGAGGUGGAAUCCCUGCAGACCUCCCUGGAAGCAGCCCGCUCUGACAACUGCCGGCUGCAACACGAGAGCGAACUAGUGAUGGCCAACGUCAGCCAGUGGGUGAAGGAGCAGAAGCAGGUGAACGAGAAGCUAGGCCAGAAGAUCCGAGACCAGAUCAAGCAAACAGCUCAACUGACAGGCGAAAGGGACCACCUCCAAGGACUGACUGAGAGACUGGAGCAAGAGAACAAACGACUGAAGAAUGAGGUGGAUGAGCGGCGCAUUGAGUGUGAACGCCUCAAGUCUGUACACAGUUCUGUCCAAGCAGCACUGGAUAUGCAUGAAAGAGGCUUUGGCCAAAGCUGCUCCCUAGAAAGUUUGGGAAGUCCUAAGAAAAUGAUGGCUGUGUGGGAUUUUGGGGAGCGCCUGCCGGUGUAAGUGUGUUGUUUGUGCCAAGGACAACUCAGUGUCCUCACGCAGCUGCUCUCCCUCCUGCAGGCUCUCCGCAGCCAUGACUUGCGACAGCCCACGCUCCCAGUGGACAGCUCUCCCCAUUUGAUGCAGAGAAGCAAAGUGCUUGCAACAAAGUGGGACUUCAGCUAGCGCCUGCAGGGCCUCUGGACCCCGCUCUCCACCCUUGCCUUAGCACUCAGCCACCUGGAGCCGAGGGCCACAUUGGCACCUGGUGUGCCUGGCUCCAGAGGGCAAGUGGACAAGGACGUGCAGACCCACGGAAAUCAUGUGACUUUGUUGAAGAAGAGGAGGGAAAAACAUACUUGUGCAAAAUACUAAGCCAAUAAAUGGGGGUGUGCUCCCCCAAGGAGGA